GAUGAACGCUGGCGGUGUGCCUAAUACAUGCAAGUCGCACGCAUUCUCGUUUCUGAUUGACGGUGCUUGCACCUAAUUGACGAGACAUUGGAAUGAGUGGCGGACGGGUGAGUAACACGUGGGUAACCUGCCCAGAAGUGGGGGAUAACAUUUGGAAACAGAUGCUAAUACCGCAUAAAAGUCAAAACCACAUGGUUUUGAUUUAAAAGAUGGCUUUUGUGCUAUCACUUCUGGAUGGACCCGCGGCGUAUUAGCUAGCUGGUAAGGUAACGGCUUACCAAGGCAAUGAUACGUAGCCGAACUGAGAGGUUGAUCGGCCACAAUGGGACUGAGACACGGCCCAUACUCCUACGGGAGGCAGCAGUAGGGAAUCUUCCACAAUGGGCGCAAGCCUGAUGGAGCAACACCGCGUGAGUGAAGAAGGGUCUCGGCUCGUAAAACUCUGUUGUUAAAGAAGAACGUAUCUAAGAGUAACUGCUUAGGUAGUGACGGUAUUUAACCAGAAAGCCACGGCUAACUACGUGCCAGCCGCCGCCGUAA
rnacentral:rRNA from 1 species